rnacentral:rRNA from 1 species
UACGGAGGGUGCAAGCGUUAUCCGGAUUCACUGGGUUUAAAGGGAGCGUAGGUGGGUUGGUAAGUCAGUGGUGAAAUCCCUCGGCUCAACCGGGGAACUGCGUCCGAUACUGGUGGGCUCGAAUCCGGGAGAGGGAUGUGGAAUUCCAGGUGUAGCGGUGAAAUGCGUAGAUAUCUGGAGGAACACCGGUGGCGAAGGCGGCAUCCUGGACCGGUAUUGACGCUGAUGCGCGAAAGCCAGGGGAGCAAACGGG